GACGAACGCUGGCGGCGUGCUUAACACAUGCAAGUCGAACGGAAAGGCCCUGCUUUUGUGGGGUGCUCGAGUGGCGAACGGGUGAGUAACACGUGAGUAACCUGCCCUUGACUUUGGGAUAACUUCAGGAAACUGGGGCUAAUACCGGAUAGGAGCUCCUGCUGCAUGGUGGGGGUUGGAAAGUUUCGGCGGUUGGGGAUGGACUCGCGGCUUAUCAGCUUGUUGGGUGGGUAGUGGCUUACCCAGGCUUUGACGGGUAGCCGGCCUGAGAGGGUGAACGGCCACAUUGGGACUGAGAUACGGCCCAGACUCCUACGGGAGGCAGCAGUGGGGAAUAUUGCACAAUGGGCGGAAGCCUGAUGCAGCAACGCCGCGUGCGGGAUGACGGCCUUCGGGUGGUAAACCGCUUUCGCCUGUGACGAAGCGUGAGUGACGGUAAUGGGUAAAGAAGCACCGGCUAACUACGUG
rnacentral:rRNA from 1 species